CUGGUUGAUCCUGCCAGUAGCAUAUGAUUGUCUCAACGAUUAAGCCAUGCAUGUCUAAGUAGGAACGGCCGGUACAGUGAAACUGCGAAUGGCUCAUUAAAUCAGUUAUGGUUCCUUUGGUCGCUCCCUCCUCUCCUACUUGGAUAACUGUGGUAAUUCUAGAGCUAAUACAUGCUGACGGGCGCUGACCCCUUUCGCGGGGGUGGAUGUGUGCAUUUAUCAGAUCAAAACCAACCCGAUCAGCCCUUCGGCCCUGGCUGGGGGGCGGGCGCCGGCGCCUUUGGUGACUCCCUCGGGCCGAUCACAAGCCCCCCGUGGCGGCAAUGACCCAUUUGAACGUCUGCCCUAUCAACUUUCGAUGGUAGUCGCUGUGCCUACCAUGGUGACCACGGGUGACGGGGAAUCAGGGUUUGAUUCCGGAGAGGGAGCCUGAGAAAUGGCUACCACAUCCAAGGAAGGCAGCAGGCGUGCAAAUUACCCACCCCCGUCCCGGGGAGUUAGUGACGAAAAAUAAUACAGGACUCUUUCGAGCCCCUGUAAUUGGAAUGAGUCCACUUUAAAUCCUUUAACGAUCCAUUGGAGGGCAAGUCUGCUGCCAGCAGCCACGGUAAUUCCAGCUCCAAUAGCGUAUAUU
rnacentral:ncRNA from 1 species